ACGGUUUUUGCUGUACUGUACUACUGUGGUUGCUGUUCUGGCUCUGUAAUGAGGCUAUGCUUUUUGGUAAUUUUUGUAUCUAUCCUUUGGAAGCUAUGCUAUGAGAUAGGUGGUUCUUAUGCUUCUGCCGAUUCUUUUGGGGAUGAGCUUUGAAUAUUGGCUUCUGGCCUUCUGCCAUGGAUUCGGGUGUGUCUCUGCCCAUUGCAACUCUGCUUCUGCAGUAGAUCCAAAUUGUCCUUAUUCGUAAUUUACAUACACGGAAAGCAACGUUAUUCUUUUCUUCUCGCUAUUUUUUUUUUUUGGUGAGAAGCCAAGGCCCAAGGAAGAAAAAAAAAAGGGGGGUUAGCUAAGUCGUCUUCUCUAGCAGAGCGCACCAGCUAUGGAUUCAAAGACGCCGCAACGGCGUCGUCCAAGCAGUGUCAUCCAAAAUGGCACCGUUAUCAGAGAGAAGAAGCCCAAACGUAGCGAGGUCCUCGCAAAGAAGAAAGCCGUUGAGCAAUCCAUCAAAUCAGCACGUGCCGAAAAGGAUCACCUUGCUUCCUUCCCUGAGUUCCGCCACUUCGUCAAUAACGGUCUAUCUAUGUGUUUGAAGUCAGGACGCGGUGAUACACUAUCCUCUCCUGUUAAGCACUAUGUUCAGAGCCUCCUUAAGCUAAAUAUGGAAGGACCCUAUGGAUCUGAGUGGUUGGAUGAAGAAAAGGUGAAGCGCAGAGAAAUGGUUGCUCCAGAAGCACGCUAUAUAUUUGUGCAUGAGGAUGCCAAUUCAGUUGGUGAUGAGACAAGAAUGAUGUUGAAUGCAGAAGAGGCUUCAACUAGUUGUGUAGAAGAUAGUGGCCCCUUAGUUGGAUUUGUACAUUACCGUAUUGUUCUGGAAGAAGAUGUACCGGUCCUUUAUGUGUAUGAGUUGCAGAUUGAGCCUCGUGUCCAAGGAAAAGGGUUAGGGAAGUUUCUAAUGCAACUAAUUGAGCUUAUUGCCCAAAAGAACUGCAUGGGUGCUGUCAUGCUAACUGUUCAAAAAGCAAAUUUACUAGCUCUGAAUUUCUAUCUAAGUAAGCUGAGAUACAUCAUAUCAACCAUUUCGCCUUCAAAGAUGGGGAUUGAGAAGAGUUACGAAAUUCUUUGCAAAACAUUUAAUGACGAAGCUAAAACUAUUUUGGAGGUACAGCUCCUAUCCGCACCAUUAGAUUGAUUUUAUCAGAUAGUCUAUCACUGAUUUCACAAAACACACUAAUUGACAGCCAUCUGGAUCACUCAGGUUUAAGGUUAAAUCACUAUAUGACAUUUUCCUUUUUGGUUCUCAAAUCACAAUUCACAUUAUAUGAUUUAAACGAUUAUUCUCAUAAGAACUAUGCCUAUUUUUAACAUAUACUUCUCUCGUGUCUUGCAAGGCAAUAUAUUAAUUUUUCCUUUUCAGACGAUGGAAAACAGAGGCUUUUGAUAUAUGGUCCAUUAACAUAUACUGAUCAGUUCUUGAGAAUGCAUUACCACACAAGAAUGGAGUUUCUGCCUGAUUCUGCUGUUAGAGUUUUGUUAAGGGACAUGCUGAUCUUCCAAUUUUGGGGGAAAUCAAAGAUAAUGUAGUGAACUUUUAGCCAACGGAAGUUCCUUUUAGUAAUAUAUCAUGCAUGUUUUUCUC